UGUUGGGAUAGCUCAGUUGGUAGAGCAUGAGACUCUUAAUCUCAGGGUUGCGGGUUCGAGCCCCAAUUGGGCAA